UACAGAGGGGGCAAGCGUUGUUCGGAAUUACUGGGCGUAAAGGGCGCGUAGGCGGCCUUCUAAGUCGAACGUGAAAUCCCCCGGGCUCAACCCGGGAACUGCGUCCGAUACUGGGAGGCUUGAAUCCGGGAGAGGGAUGUGGAAUUCCAGGUGUAGCGGUGAAAUGCGUAGAUAUCUGGAGGAACACCGGUGGCGAAGGCGGCAUCCUGGACCGGUAUUGACGCUGAGGCGCGAAAGCCAGGGGAGCAAAGCGGG
rnacentral:rRNA from 1 species